rnacentral:lncRNA from 1 species
AUGAGAAAAUAUCAGGUAGUGAUAAGUAUUACCACAACUCAUCAUCAGUCUACUGAUCCAUUUUCUCCUACUUCUCUUCUGUACAAUCAUAAUAAUCUUAACUCUUCUUCCCUCUUGCACCAUCUCACUCUUCCUUCACCACUGCGAUGUAUGUCUUCUACAACUUCUAUUGUUUAUGAACAUUCCCUCCCAGACUCCCAUAACCUGAAUUUACAUUCCCUCCAUUCUACUGAAACUGCUCUCCCAAAGGUCAUUAUUAACUCCCCUUUGAUGACAAGUUCUUUUAGAAACUACCCCUCUAGGCCUCUCUAAACUCUUGGGUAUAGAUAAUUAGGGUCGGCUUCCCCAAAUCCUCUUCAUUUUGGAGUUGCUGCUUUGUCUGCACCCACCCUACCUCUUUCUACUGCUAUUUUUCCUGUAUUCCUUUUGAUGGACUGUCUUGCUACUAAUGACCCCCUUUCAAUGAAUUCUCUUGAAGAUUCAACCUAGUUACCCUCUGCUCUUUCCUGACAUCUUUAAACAAAUGACUUCCAAACCUGUACCUCAAGCCCUGGCUCCUCACCACUUGACAUCUCCACUCAGAUAACCCAACAGCCCCUCAAACUCUCUAUAUUUAAAAAACCAAAGACCCUCCCAUAUUUCUAAUGCUGUCAAUGUCCAUACUCCUCCCCCAAUGUGGGAUGCCUGGUUCUUUCUCUUCCUCCGUUUAUUAUCAUGAGCAUAACGAGAAGAGAAGGGUGUCCAUGCCUCUUGUCUCUCAAAUAUUAAUCUUAGCAGGGAGUUCCCUUCAUGACUCAGUGGUUAAUGAACCCAACUAGGAUCCAUGAGGAUGUGGGUUUGAUCCCUGUCCUUGCUCAUUGGGUUAAGAAUCUGGCGUUGCUGUGGCUGUGACGUAGGCUGGCAGCUAUAGCUCCAAUUAGACCCCUAGCCUGGGAAAUUCCAUAUGCCAUGGAUGUGGUCCUAAAAAGCAAAAAAAAAAAAAAUUAAAAAAUUAAUCUGGAGUUCCCGUCGUGGCGCAGUGGUUAACGAAUCCGACUAGGAACCAUGAGGUUGAGGGUUGAAUCUCUGGCCUUACUCAGUGGGUUAACAUCCGGCGUUGCCGGGAGCUGUGGUGUAGGUUGCAGACGCGGCUCGGAUCCCGCGUUGCUGUGGCUCUGGCGUAGACCGGUGGCUACGGCUCCGAUUGGACCCCUAGCCUGGGAACCUCCAUAUGCCGCGGGAGCGGCCCAAGAAAUAGCAAAAAGACAAAAAAAUAAAAAUUAAAAAAUAAACA